GGGGCUGAAGAGGGGGAGGGGGGGGGUAGCGAAAAGGAGAGUGCACCAUAAAACUGAAUGAAUUCUGCUGCAGUAAAAAGGGGCAGUUAUUCCCCUCUCUCUUUUCUCCCUCUCUCUCCCUCUCUCUCUCUCUUUGUUCCUCUCUCCUCAAGCGAUGUCAAAUUAAUUCGCUGGAGGUCAAAUUAUUCCAGCUGUUGCCAUGCUGGGGAGGAAGGGGGGGUUAAGAUGCUUCAGAGAAGACACACAUUCACAGCAAGAAAAGCCAUGCGCAGCAUCUAUGUUGUUAACCUUUUUCUCUAUUCAAAGAAAUGCACCACUCUCCUCCUGCCCCCUCCUCUCCCGUGAGCUCUCACUGGCCCUCCCCCUCUCCAUCCUACUACUCUCUCUCCGGCUCUCUCUCUCUCCUUCACUUUCUCUUCCUCGCUCGCUCUCAUAUUCCGCAUAAAGGAAUCACAUUUCAUUGAAGGAGGAGAAUCAAGGCUUCAUUUCUUCCUCCUCUUCCUCAUCUCACAACCUGGUCAUAUCCCCCCUCCCCCGUCCUCCCCCGUCCUCCCCCCUCAUCACUGCAUUUCACUCUGUGUUUGGCUUCACUCAUCUUCCAUUACCAUUCUUUCUCAAAGUGAGCUUCAUUCACUUUGGGUCAACUGCUCAGAUCUUUGCUUCCUUUCAUGUCACUGCAGUUUUUUCUUUCUUACUUGUUAUCUGUGUUUACUCAGUUGUUUUGAUUAUUUACCUGCACUUUCUAUCUGAAGAAACAACUUUUUGUUGGGAGAAAGUUUGCUGGCUCCCUUUCCUCUUCAGAUCUUUCAUUGGCAUUAAGUCAUUUUUUAUUUUUUUGUCUUGGUUGGAAGUUCCUGGGAUUUAACAACUCAGAAUUUUUUCAGAUCUGCUUGCUUGCAAAAAAAAAAAAAUCCUGCACUCACGAGUUUCAGAGUUGUACUGCAUCAUUCCGCAAAAGAGUUGUCCUGAUUCUGCAACUGAAAACUAAAGAAAAAUCAGCACGAUUCUGCAUUAAGGAAGUAAUGACGACGGCCAUACGACCUAAAAGUGAACAACGUGGAAUUGGGGUCAGCACUUCUCCUGUGGGGCGCUGCAGCAGGAUGGAUUACAUUUCAGCACCAUGGACAGUGGCACCGUCCUUCUCUCUGGGACAAACUCUCCUCUUACGGGAUGCUGGACGUUCUAUUAUCGGACUGUGGAACUUUUCUCCAUUGGACACUUUUUGUUCCUGGUGUGACACCUCCGUUGCCCUCACUUGUUCUUCAUAGGAAGCCGCGGCUUUUUGGUGAACUGCUGAAUAUUUUAUGUGCUGACAUCAAAAGCUCCCACAUGCUCACUGUGCCGGACAGCCGCACCAUUUUGUCUCCAGGUUCCUUGACUUUGCCAUCAUCGGGUACCUGGCAGCAGAGGAGCAGGUGGGUUCUAUCUCAGUGGGGAGUAAAAAGAAAUCCCAAUAAUGACAGUAAAGACGAAGAAGAGGAGGGAACACUGUCUUUGCACCGGAGGCAGUUUUUGCUCUAAACAAACGUUAAGGAAUGUCUUCUCUUUUUUUUUUUGAUGAGAUUCCUGGGACCCAAGACACGCAGGAACAAUAUCACACUAGAUUGGGAAAUAUCCAACCAAGGUUUUUGCAGGAGGCCUGAAGGUCUGAGCCCAAGUGCAAUGAUCAUCAAUGCUGCUGCUGCGCUUAUUGUCAGGGAACUCCGAGUGAAGAGCAACACAGCCUCAUGAAUAUACAACAGAGGUAAAGGUGUUUGCUUAUAGGUGCUUGUACCAAAAGUCAAGAAGAAAGGAGAAACUUCUGCACGAAGAAUUCAAACCACACACGGGUUUGUAAAUGUGUCCUAUCCCUUUAUACUGUUCUACUGGAGCUGAGGCCAAAACAAACAACACUCGGCUCUGCAGAGUUUCCAAACCAGCUAACUCGCAUGUGUUGAGACUGGAGGAAAACCAAGUGGACAAAACGCUGCCAAGAUAAAGGUCAGGCGUCUAACUGCUAUGAGGUCAAACACACAUCUCCCUUGUAACUAAAAAAGCAGAGCUUUUUUCUCUAGUGAACCGUUCCUUCCAAUCAUCCAGACACGUACGCACUGGGAACUGUGUCGGCUGGGAGAGAGUGUUGGUAGAUUAUCAGGAAUGUUAAACUAUACUGCAAGAUUCACAGGUUUCUUUCUAUUAGGAUGUACUCAUGCACCGUGGGGACAAGGGCCACAUUUGAAUAUCAGCAUGAAAACAUUCUCGCUGGGAUUUAGCAGGAUUCAGCAAGUUACCAUGCGAACGCUUGCAAAUGAUCAACUAAACACAAAUUAGGUUGAAGUGAAACCAAAGCAUCGGGCAAAUGCGGAUGUUCGCUGCCAAGACAUCAGAAUUAUGUAUCAAGAGGCCUUGAAUAGCAUCCGUUGGCUUGGAAAAGUCAGGAGGUCGGCUCAAGCCAUUCGGGGGCGUCUCCUCGGGGGAACACGGACGCCCCGACAUCACGUCCUGGCUUCCAAUCCGGAUUUUUGUUGACGCACUAACGCCGCCGUCCGUGGAACCCUGCUGCUAAAAGGAGAACAGACGCCGCAGGAAGUUGGUCUACGGGAAAGAGGCCGACAGCGUUUCUUCAUCAGCCUGCAUGAAUACUGAAUGUUGAACCUUGUUUGUUUGGAGGGAGGGAGGGAGGGAGGGAGGACGCGAGCAGCAGACCCGAGAAGGCUCGGUGGAGAUGGAGUGGAUGUUCUCAGCAUUCUUUCCCGUUGGCCCGUGUGCAGUUACAAAUGACGGUGCAAAGACUAAUUGAGGAGGAGAAACCAGUGGUUCAAUGGUCUCCACUGACUUAUCAUCCAAAAAAAGACGUGUCCCGCGACCGCCGUCCGUGCUCAGACGUGAAAUAACGUCGAGCGGAAGCUGCUUGCAAUUGGGAACGUGAAGUAGAUUUUUGAUGACAAAACGCACGAGCCAAAGUUUGCAGAGCUGCCGGUUGUAUGCGGCUUACGAUCAUCAGUAGAAGCGGCGCAGCAGAGCGGAAGACCGUGAGCUGCAAUCUUAUUGAAUUAUGAAUCAAGUGCAACGCCAGCUCAAUGCCUCCAAAGCCGUCGUGAGGUCUGUUAGAUGCAUCCCUCUGACGUUAUUUUAAGCUCUGCGGUAUCAAACAUUGAACCACAGUCAUUUUGCCGCCGUAACAAGCGAUGAAGCGUUUUCUCUGUGGUUUCACUUGUUUAUGAAGAAUAGUCUCAGUUCUCACAUUGUGAUGCAGUAAACUCCAUGAAAGGUUCAAUGCAUUUGUUGAAACGGUUUUGAUUGAUUUAAGGGGUUUGUGGUGGAGAAAUUGUUUACAAUGUGGCAUUAAAAACAAUUUGAAAAAAUGUG